rnacentral:lncRNA from 1 species
CACAAGCCAAUAGGCACAAACAAACAACUUGGCAUCAACCUACAAAACAACUCAAAGUUAGCCAACAUCUAGAGCAAACAUCAAUGCUCAAGUGAGGAAGCAUCAUCCACUAUGGACUUGGAUGUGUAAACCUGAAAUCAAAGCUCAACUGUGAGUCACAAACCACUAGGUCAAGGCCUAGGGUCAACGAUGGAGAAAAAAUU